UUAGGAAUCUUGCGCAAUGGGGGAAACCCUGACGCAGCGACGCCGCGUGGGUGAUGAAGGCCUUCGGGUUGUAAAGCCCUUUCGGCAGGGACGAACUAUGACGGUACCUGCAGAAGAAGCACCGGCUAACUCUGUGCCAGCAGCCGCGGUAAUACAGAGGGUGCAUGCGUUAUUCGGAUUCACUGGGCGUAAAGUGCGCGUAGGCCGUUUGGUAAGUCGGGUGUGAAAUCCCGGAGCUCAACUCCGGAACUGCAUUCGAUACUGCCAAGCUAGAGUACAGGAGAGGAGAACGGAAUUCCCGGUGUAGAGGUGAAAUUCGCAGAUAUCGGGAGGAACAACAGUAGCGAAGGCGGUUCUCUGGACUGUUACUGACGCUGAGGCGCGAAAGCGUGGGGAGCAA
rnacentral:rRNA from 1 species